rnacentral:lncRNA from 1 species
UUUUUAACUAAAAGUUAAUGUUGGAGCACUUAUUUUAAAGGGGCAAUUGCUUAUACUACUGAAAAGUUUCUAAUUUUCUGAUUUAUCUCUAUUAGAAGGCUAAUAUUGAAAAUAUCUUUUUUACAUUCGAACCUAUUUCAAUAUACCCGUAGAGUUAAAUUUUGUUAAUGAACAAUUAUCAAUAACCGUUAUCUCAAUGAAAUUACUAUUUUGCCUUUCAAAUAUAUUCUUUUACCAUCACCGAUUUUUCUUAUUUGCUCUUAAUUAAGGGCACAAAAAAUAUUUUAAUUUUUAGUCUUUUCAAAUAUACUCUUCUAUAAUCACCAAUAUUUGUUAUUUGCCCUGAAAUUAAGGGCAAAAAAUUUAUUUUGAUUUUUUCUAACUCUAAUAGAUAUUUAACUCAUGUUUAACCCAAGUUAACUUAAUGGGUGGUAACUGUAGGGAUAUUUUGGAAUAACGGAGGAACAUAUAAGGGUAUAUUAGAAAGAAAAAAAAUAAGGAUAAAUGAGAUAUUUCUGAAGUUUUGAGGGAUAUAUAUAGGCAAUUAUCCCUAUUUUAAAUUGCCGAAAAGAUGAGUGUGU